rnacentral:misc_RNA from 1 species
UGGUAUUGCUAAAUGUCAGUUUGUCAAGAGAAGUGGUUCCUGCCUUUGCUAGGAUACUCUUGCGUACUUCACUUGGGAAGAAGCACCUGGUUCGCCCCCUACUUCGAACAGAAAUUGUUCAAGUGGUGAACAGGCGUGCAUGGUAUGAUUCUGCCAAGCUAACAGCAGAGACUUUAAGCCUCUAUAAGGCCCCUCUAUAUGUGGAAGGUUGGGAUGAAGCACUCCACGAAAUAGGCAAACUUUCAUGUGAGACUGUCCUCUCACCGCAGAUUUAUGCAUCAUUGCUGAAGGCAGUAGAAGACAUGCCGAUAUUAGUCAUUGCUGGUGCUGAAGAUGCCCUUGUCCCUCUCAAGUCCUCCCAAGUCAUGGCUUCAAAACUUGUAAAUUCUAGACUGGUUGCCAU